UACGGGGGGAGCAAGCGUUGUUCGGAAUCACUGGGCGUAAAGGGAGUCUAGGCGGUUUGGUAAGUGGGAUGUGAAAUGCCCGGGCUCACCCCGGGACCUGCAUCCCAAACUGCUGAGCUUGAGUACAGGAGAGGGUGGGGGAAUUCCAGGUGUAGCGGCGAAAUGCGCAGAUAUCAGGAGGAGCACCGGUGGCGAAGGCGGGUCUCUGGGCCGUAACUGACGCUGAGGAGCGAAAGCAUGGGGAGCGAACGGG
rnacentral:rRNA from 1 species